UACGUAGGCAGCAAGCGUUGUUCGGAGUUACUGGGCGUAAAGGGUGUGUAGGCGGUUUUCUAAGUCUGGUGUGAAAUCUCCCGGCUCAACUGGGAGGGUGCGCCGAAAACUGGAAGGCUAGAGUGCGGGAUGGGAGAGUGGAAUUCCUGGUGUAGCGGUGAAAUGCGUAGAUAUCAGGAGGAACACCUGUGGUGUAGACGGCUCUCUGGACCGCAACUGACGCUGAGACACGAAAAGCGUGGGUAGCAAACAGG
rnacentral:rRNA from 1 species